UAGCGAUGUCGGGCCGGGUUAUGGGGGCGCCUGGGGUGAGCGAAUCACCUUUUGUCCCUAAGGAUAAGAAGCAUGUUAAAUCAAGACGAGACAUUAGACAAAAUCACAUCAUAUCAAACACGUUUUCCAAACGAUGUACUUGAUAGUCGUCUUUUCAGGCAAAAAGAUGUAAUAUUCUUGCCAUUUUUGGUAUAUUGAAUUAUUGAUUUCCCAACUUGCCUCAUUUGGUAAAAAGUCCAUAACCUUUGGACAACACCUCUCCCCUCAUGCAUAAAAGUUAACCAUGUAAACCCCUCUACCCUUUUGUUCCUUCACAAAAAAUUCUCCAAACAAAAUUCUAUCAAAAUGAGGAUGCAUGUAAGUGUUUGAAGAAGAGGAGUCCAAUUUCCUACUCACUACCCUUCUUCUCCUCCUUUUCUCAAGGCUAUUUUCGCAAGUUAAGGGCGGAGUAAUGAAAAAUUCAAGUUAAGGAACUUUAAACGAACGAGGUUGAGCCGUGGAUGAAGUGGUGCUGAGUGAGUUAGUUGAAUUUCCCUAUCAUUGUAGGACCCUCGAAGGCAUAUGUCUCCAUACAUAUUGUCGCGUCCAAACCUUCUUCCGUUGUGCACUUUAUUCAUGUUUUGUGAUAGACUUUUUUAUGAGAACUAUGAUACGAAUAUGUAGUACUAGUUAAUGAAAUC